GGGCCCAGGGCGACAGCGGAGCCUUCACACCGCUUUCUCCGCGCGCUGAUGGAGGAUUCCUGGCCUCACAGCAGUGCCUGGCCUGUGGGCGUCCCCGGCAGUCCUCGGCUGCGGGACCUGUAUCGGGACUGCGCAAAGUGGGCUUCCAGGAGAGCAGGGCGUCCCUCAGUCAGCUGACCCCUUGGAGCGUGGGGCAGCCCAGGCCCGUGAGGCCGCCAGUGUCACCCUCAGGCCCGCGAGGCCCCCGAGCCCCUUGUGGGGUCCAAGGCCCAUUCUGGAUCAGUCACGAGGCAAGACCGCGGACCCUCAGGAGAUCACCAGGAGCCCGCCGCGCAUUCCUCCGCCUCCACCACGCCAGUCACCUGCUCAGCCCGAGGGCAGCCAGCGGCCGUCGCCCCAGUGAGGCGGCCGGUGAGGAGCUGAGGCCGUGACCAGGGCAGCGCCCCGCGAGUCAGCGUCAGUCCCCGCGCCAGCCAGUUCCUCAGACAAUCAGCUCACCAUUCCCAUCGCGUAUGCUGGGAAAUCAUCAAUAUACCCGCUGUCAUGGGUCAGUGCUCACACAAUGAAGAUGACACAGAAGGAGAGGAAGACCAGGGCUGUGGCUCCAGCUCCCCCGACCGCCCCCAGCAACACUCCUGAUACAGGCCUCAUUUUGCCUGAGGAUGGAUUGGAAUUGUUUUGGUGAUCCAACUCCAAGAACUGGGUCUCUUCUCCUCCCACUUCCUAUAAGGCCCCCAACUUGGGUACCCUAAUCCCCCUUCCCAGAAACAAAGGGCAAGAAUGGGAGGGAGGAGGAAGGGACAACUCCUGAGGUCACUGAGGCAUGAGAGUGGUAAGCACAGCCUGCCUGUAUUUGAAAUUUUGAUUUGUAUUCACUGUCAAAUUAUUUUGCAAUAAUUUUUAGUUUUUAAUAAAGAUAAUCACAUCCAAUAUUA
ensembl:lncRNA novel transcript, antisense to SIGLEC7 and SIGLEC17P